UCCCGAUUGGCUCGGGCAGUCUCGUAUGAAAAAUUCAACAUACGAUAAGGGUUGCGCUCGUUGCGGGACUUAACCCAACAUCUCACGACACGAGCUGACGACGGCCAUGCAGCACCUGUCACUGCGUUCCCGAAGGCACUCCACUAUUUCUAGCGGAUUCGCAGGAUGUCAAACCUCGGUAAGGUUCUUCGUGUAGCGUCGAAUUAAACCACAUGAUCCUCUGCUUGUGCGGAUCCCCGUCAAUUCCUUUGAGUUUUAAGCUUGCGCUCGUACUCCCCAGGCGGCAGGCUUAUCGCGUUAGCUUCUUGGCCCAAGGGGUCGAUACCUCGAACUAAUAGCCUGCAUCGUUUACGGCGUGGACUAC
rnacentral:misc_RNA from 1 species